UACGUAGGGUACGAGCGUUGCCCGGAAUUAUUGGGCGUAAAGGGCUCGUAGGCGGUCUGUUACGUCGGGAGUGAAAACUCGGGGCUCAACCCCGAGCCUGCUUCCGAUACGGGCAGACUAGAGGUAUGCAGGGGAGAACGGAAUUCCUGGUGUAGCGGUGAAAUGCGCAGAUAUCAGGAGGAACACCGGUGGCGAAGGCGGUUCUCUGGGCAUUACCUGACGCUGAGGAGCGAAAGCAUGGGGAGCGAACAGG
rnacentral:rRNA from 1 species